rnacentral:rRNA from 1 species
UACGUAGGGGGGCAAGCGUUGUCCGGAAUUAUUGGGCGUAAAGAGCGCGUAGGCGGUCCGAUAAGUCGGCUGUGAAAGUCAGGGGCUCAACCCUUGAAAGCCGGCCGAUACUGUCGGACUAGAGUCCGGAAGAGGCGAGUGGAAUUCCCGGUGUAGCGGUGAAAUGCGCAGAUAUCGGGAGGAACACCAAUGGCGAAGGCAGCUGCUGGGACGGUACUGACGCUGAGGCGCGAAAGCGUGGGGAGCGAACAGG